AUUGAACGCUGGCGGCAGGCCUAACACAUGCAAGUCGAGCGGAUGAAGGGAGCUUGCUCCUGGAUUCAGCGGCGGACGGGUGAGUAAUGCAUAGGAAUCUGCCUGGUAGUGGGGGAUAACGUCCGGAAACGGGCGCUAAUACCGCAUACGUCCUGAGGGAGAAAGUGGGGGAUCUUCGGACCUCACGCUAUCAGAUGAGCCUAGGUCGGAUUAGCUAGUUGGUGGGGUAAAGGCCUACCAAGGCGACGAUCCGUAACUGGUCUGAGAGGAUGAUCAGUCACACUGGAACUGAGACACGGUCCAGACUCCUACGGGAGGCAGCAGUGGGGAAUAUUGGACAAUGGGCGAAAGCCUGAUCCAGCCAUGCCGCGUGAGUGAAGAAGGUCUUCGGAUUGUAAAGCACUUUAAGUUGGGAGGAAGGGCAGUAAGUUAAUACCUUGCUGUUUUGACGUUACCAACAGAAUAAGCACCGGCUAACUUCGUG
rnacentral:rRNA from 1 species